rnacentral:sRNA from 12 species
CCAGUGCCUAGCCCGACGGGGCGAAAACCGGAUUCCUUUCCACCGGCUGGCACUGGUUUUUAUUGAGGGA